rnacentral:rRNA from 1 species
GGGUUGUGAGGUUAAGCGACUAAGCGUACACGGUGGAUGCCCUGGCAGUCAGAGGCGAUGAAGGACGUGCUAAUCUGCGAAAAGCGUCGGUAAGGUGAUAUGAACCGUUACAGCCGGCGAUGUCCGAAUGGGGAAACCCAGUGUGAUUCGUCACACUAUCGUUAACUGAAUACAUAGGUUAACGAGGCGAACCGGGGGAACUGAAACAUCUAAGUACCCCGAGGAAAAGAAAUCAACCGAGAUUCCCCCAGUAGCGGCGAGCGAACGGGGAGCAGCCCAGAGUCUGAAUCAGCUUGUGUGUUAGUGGAACGGUCUGGAAAGUCCGACGGUACAGGGUGAUAGUCCCGUACACCAAAAUGCACAGGCUGUGAACUCGAAGAGUAGGGCGGGACACGUGGUAUCCUGUCUGAAUAUGGGGGGACCAUCCUCCAAGGCUAAAUACUCCUGACUGACCGAUAGUGAACCAGUACCGUGAGGGAAAGGCGAAAAGAACCCCGGCGAGGGGAGUGAAAAAGAACCUGAAACCGUGUACGUACAAGCAGUGGGAGCACCUUCGGGUGUGACUGCGUACCUUUUGUAUAAUGGGUCAGCGACUUAUAUUCUGUAGCAAGGUUAACCGUAUAGGGGAGCCGCAGGGAAACCGAGUCUUAACUGGGCGUUAAGUUGCAGGGUAUAGACCCGAAACCCGGUGAUCUAGCCAUGGGCAGGUUGAAGGUUGGGUAACACUAACUGGAGGACCGAACCGACUAAUGUUGAAAAAUUAGCGGAUGACUUGUGGCUGGGGGUGAAAGGCCAAUCAAACCGGGAGAUAGCUGGUUCUCCCCGAAAGCUAUUUAGGUAGCGCCUCGUGAACUCAUCUUCGGGGGUAGAGCACUGUUUCGGCUAGGGGGUCAUCCCGACUUACCAACCCGAUGCAAACUACGAAUACCGAAGAAUGUUAUCACGGGAGACACACGGCGGGUGCUAACGUCCGUCGUGAAGAGGGAAACAACCCAGACCGCCAGCUAAGGUCCCAAAGUCAUGGUUAAGUGGGAAACGAUGUGGGAAGGCACAGACAGCCAGGAUGUUGGCUUAGAAGCAGCCAUCAUUUAAAGAAAGCGUAAUAGCUCACUGGUCGAGUCGGCCUGCGCGGAAGAUGUAACGGGGCUAAACCAUGCACCGAAGCUGCGGCAGCGACACGAUGUGUUGUUGGGUAGGGGAGCGUUCUGUAAGCCUGCGAAGGUGACCUGUGAGGGUUGCUGGAGGUAUCAGAAGUGCGAAUGCUGACAUAAGUAACGAUAAAGCGGGUGAAAAGCCCGCUCGCCGGAAGACCAAGGGUUCCUGUCCAACGUUAAUCGGGGCAGGGUGAGUCGACCCCUAAGGCGAGGCCGAAAGGCGUAGUCGAUGGGAAACAGGUUAAUAUUCCUGUACUUGGUGUUACUGCGAAGGGGGGACGGAGAAGGCUAUGUUAGCCGGGCGACGGUUGUCCCGGUUUAAGCAUGUAGGCUGGUUAUCCAGGCAAAUCCGGAUAAUCAAGGCUGAGGUGUGAUGACGAGGCACUACGGUGCUGAAGUAACAAAUGCCCUGCUUCCAGGAAAAGCCUCUAAGCAUCAGGUAACACGAAAUCGUACCCCAAACCGACACAGGUGGUCAGGUAGAGAAUACCAAGGCGCUUGAGAGAACUCGGGUGAAGGAACUAGGCAAAAUGGUGCCGUAACUUCGGGAGAAGGCACGCUGGUGUGUAGGUGAAGUCCCUGCGGAUGGAGCUGAGACCAGUCGAAGAUACCAGCUGGCUGCAACUGUUUAUUAAAAACACAGCACUGUGCAAACACGAAAGUGGACGUAUACGGUGUGACGCCUGCCCGGUGCCGGAAGGUUAAUUGAUGGGGUUAUCCGUAAGGAGAAGCUCUUGAUCGAAGCCCCGGUAAACGGCGGCCGUAACUAUAACGGUCCUAAGGUAGCGAAAUUCCUUGUCGGGUAAGUUCCGACCUGCACGAAUGGCGUAAUGAUGGCCAGGCUGUCUCCACCCGAGACUCAGUGAAAUUGAACUCGCUGUGAAGAUGCAGUGUACCCGCGGCAAGACGGAAAGACCCCGUGAACCUUUACUAUAGCUUGACACUGAACAUUGAGCCUUGAUGUGUAGGAUAGGUGGGAGGCUUUGAAGCGUGGACGCCAGUCUGCGUGGAGCCAACCUUGAAAUACCACCCUUUAAUGUUUGAUGUUCUAACGUUGGCCCCUUAUCGGGGUUGCGGACAGUGUCUGGUGGGUAGUUUGACUGGGGCGGUCUCCUCCCAAAGCGUAACGGAGGAGCACGAAGGUUAGCUAAUCCUGGUCGGACAUCAGGAGGUUAGUGCAAUGGCAUAAGCUAGCUUGACUGCGAGCGUGACGGCGCGAGCAGGUGCGAAAGCAGGUCAUAGUGAUCCGGUGGUUCUGAAUGGAAGGGCCAUCGCUCAACGGAUAAAAGGUACUCCGGGGAUAACAGGCUGAUACCGCCCAAGAGUUCAUAUCGACGGCGGUGUUUGGCACCUCGAUGUCGGCUCAUCACAUCCUGGGGCUGAAGUAGGUCCCAAGGGUAUGGCUGUUCGCCAUUUAAAGUGGUACGCGAGCUGGGUUUAGAACGUCGUGAGACAGUUCGGUCCCUAUCUGCCGUGGGCGCUGGAGAAUUGAGGGGGGCUGCUCCUAGUACGAGAGGACCGGAGUGGACGCAUCACUGGUGUUCGGGUUGUCAUGCCAAUGGCACUGCCCGGUAGCUAAAUGCGGAAGAGAUAAGUGCUGAAAGCAUCUAAGCACGAAACUUGCCCCGAGAUGAGUUCUCCCUGAGACUUUAAGUCUCCUGAAGGAACGUURAAGACGAYGACGUUGAUAGGCCGGGUGUGUAAGCGCAGCGAUGCGUUGAGCUAACCGGUACUAAUGAACCGUGAGGCUUAACCUUACAACGCCGAAG